rnacentral:rRNA from 1 species
UACGAAGGGUGCAAGCGUUACUCGGAAUUACUGGGCGUAAAGCGUGCGUAGGCGGUUUGUUAAGUCCGCUGUGAAAGCCCUGGGCUCAACCUGGGAAUUGCAGUGGAUACUGGCAAGCUAGAGUGCGGUAGAGGAUGGUGGAAUUCCCGGUGUAGCGGUGAAAUGCGUAGAGAUCGGGAGGAACACCAGUGGCGAAGGCGGCCAUCUGGAUCAACACUGACGCUGAGGCACGAAAGCGUGGGGAGCAAACAGG